UUAUACUAUUUUCUGACAGCAUAUAAUCUAUUUAAAUUUAUUAAAGCUUCUCGGAGAAAAUUUAAGAUGACAGAAGUAUCAUUAUGCCCCAUAAAUAACCGGACAGCCUUGCUGAAAUAACUGUAUUUUACAUACAAAUCCUACAUAUGUGUGCGCAUAUGUUAUUUCAUUUGACACACAAAUACAUGCUCAACGGAUAUUUCACAAAAGGAAUUGUGUUAUCCAGUUCAAUCUCUCAAUAUAAAUGACCACAAGAGGUACGAAUACUAAACACUAGAUACAUUCCAUAUAUUUGCCUUUUUACCACCAGCCUUUUUCCCAAUUUUUUACAGUGCUAUGAAACAGGAGUAAUUCAGGAGCUACAAAUGUUUACAGUAUAUCACAUCAAGGAUGAUAAUGUGAAUUUUAGCUCUGGAAAAAGGUGAUCCACUCCAUGAGAAACGCACACUGCGGCGUAUGCUGCACGCUAAUGUCCGAUGCACAAUUCCCUGCUCAACUUCCCUGCUCCUUCUCCUACCCGGGCAAAACCCAGCUGUGUUACGGUUACUGGUGGAACUGAUUUAAGCAGAAAAUGUUUAUAGAUGUUAGAAAACAUUACACAUUACGCAAAAUGGCUUAAUAGCAUACAUGUGCAUGUUUAAUGCACGUACUUUUUAUUGUCUAAUUAAAAUGUAUACCAUUAAAAAAUCUUUACAGGCUUGAGAGUAAGUUAUGCAGGACAGUUAUGAAACCUUACCUUACAGAAAGUAUAAAGUACGUAUUGUGAGAUCUGCACUGCUAAUUAAAAAAAUGCUUAUGCAAAAAGAUUUAGGAUUUCUUAAUUCUUCAGCAGAUGUGCACUUGGUCUGCCUCCUGAUUAAUACACGUUAGGGUAACAGUCUCUUGCUUGGAUUUUUUUUAAAAACAGAUAUUCCCACUGUUUUAGAAUACUUUACAGGAAUGAAAGUGACACAUAUUUAAAGUUUGAGUUCAAGUGUUUGAAUACAAACAUGAAACUGUCACACAACAAAACUAACCUCACUCCCCUGGUUCAUUUCCAUUAGUACCUAAAUCCUAACUGUUUAUUAAAGUAAAACCAAGUGGCUAUUAAUACUCUUUACGGUUAUUUCCACUAAAAACUACACAGUAACAGUCUCUGUGAUACAGCCAUGAAGACACAUUACACACACUCUUGUAAAAAUCCCGGCGUAUCAACCCGAGGUCCAUCCUGACUGCUUGGCAACAUGUUUGAAGGAAAGAUAUUACAAGUUUUCCAAACUCUAGGAAUGCAGUCAUCCAAUAUACAGUGCUUAAUCAGAACCAAACUCCUCUAUUAUACACCAACACAAAACUUACACACAGAGAGAAAAAACCAAAUCCACGUUUCUUUACAAUUCAGCGAUCCAGAAAUAAAAGCUGAAUUCCACAGAACUUUUAGGUUUUUCUGCAUUGCACUAAUUUAAUGCCUUCUUCUCUGCAGCUCUAGGCAGCGUAAACAUAAUCAAAUCCCAAGUCCCUCUGAAAGUGUAAAAAUGCACUUCAAACCAUCAUCACUUUAAAAAAAACAAACAAACCCCAAAACCCCAGCCCAUGCACAAAAAACUAACUUUGCAAUCAAAACCGUAAGCAACAGAAAGCCUUGUCUGAAAUAGUAGUUAUUUUUCUCAGAGUUAUCCUUUGGUUUCACAACAAAGAUCAGCAUUUGUAAUGGUCCAUUUCUGCAUAAGUGAACAUAUAGCCUUGCUGCCUGAUCGAAUAGUCCAGAGCUUUCAGUGAGGCAGCUCCUGACAACAGCCCAGCAGCAGCUUUGUUUGAUCUCUCCUGCCUUCCUUAAUCUGGGUUGUCAAGGUUCACUUGUUGGAGGCUGUUAACUUUACUUUUUCCAGAGAAAAAAAAAAAAAAGUGAUUUUUUUUUUCCUGUCUCUCAUACAAUGACUAAUCCAAAGACUAAGGGGGAAGAAUGCUGCCAAUGCAAGAUGUUAAAGCUACAAUACCUUUUUGCAAUGAGAUUUUAGCCGACACCUUUUGAAUGGUAACUAGUGGAGAGCUUCCUCCCCCAGUGCCCUGGUCCAUUCAGUAUGGUUGGGAGAUAGUUCAAACAAAAUGUGCAGGGGAAAAGCUUCAGAGGAAAGAAGUUGAAACGAGUAGCCCCAAAUUUCCCUGUCUUCCCCCAAAUCUAGCUGCCGAGAUGCACGGUACCUCCUUGUCCACACUCGCUUCUCUGGGAACUUGAGUUAUUUCAGGCUCUCUCAAACUUACAGAACACAAGAGCUUCUCAGCAGUAACAAAAACUGUAAAAAUAAUACUCAACCGAGCAAAAUGCAUGUUUUCCAAAAUAUUAAAGUAAGCUGUGGAUUACCAGCACAGGCAAAAAAGUUUCUUUGAUGACAUGCUUGCAACUUUGUCUAAUUAAGCAGCUGUCACUAGUGACAUCAACAUUUGGUCAAAUCAGGUAAAAUCCAACUUUAGAAAAACUGUAUGGAAAGCAAACACAGUUUAGAGAACUGUUUUAAUAUUCAGAACCAUCCAGCACCCCAGAAAUCAGCAGGCUAUACAGUGUAGACGACAGGCUACGAGCAGUACACAUCCAUUACUCACUCCGAGAACAGUUACUAAAAAUGAAACCUUAAACUUCUGAGCACAGAAGUUGGGCUCCAGCUUCUCUACAGAAGCGGCUCGGAGAGCGCUCGCAGGCGGCGGAUGCCUCGGAAAAACAUCUUUCAGGGCUCCUAUCCUGACCUCUCCUGAGAGACAUCAUCUCCUGGAAGACCUUCAGCACAUCCUACAAAUAAGAAGUGCCCAAGUGCAAUCCUCCUUCUCCCAGCAGCCCGCCUGCCCAAGUUCACGCUGUUCCCUGAAUAAUAAAGCAUAAUCAGCUCUGUAUUAAAGCAAAACCUGUCCCCAGCAUCAGUGCUACCAACCCCUGUCGUAACAUAACAAGGACUCUUCCCAAAAUAUUUGGGCUUGCCCUGUCACAGUGAGAGGCGUUCAAGUUCAGCGCUCUGUCAACAAUGCCAGGUGUCUCCUGAACCUCCGGCGCCCGAGCCAAGAGAGGGAGCUCAGAAGCACAGGAAUAAUCAUUAUUCACAUUACUAAAAUGUAACGGAAUGUUUAAACAGAUAACGUAACACAAUCCCUCACAGCAGAAAAAAAAAAUACUGUUUAUUAUUUAUCCCUGUCAGAUAGAAAAUGAACUCAAUCUCCUGGAAAGCAAAAGCAAGGCUCCUUUCUUUUUUUUUUUUCCCUUCUUUUUGCAACUGACAGCCAUGAAAAAAAUAUUCUAUUGUGGCAGCUGCGCCCCUUCAAAGGGGCUGAUGUUCGCUGUGGUUCUUGAUAAACCAACUGGCAAAUUUUGGGGGUGAAAAAGAAGUGACUUGAAGCCAAACACAUCUAAGAAAAAAAAGCCUCGUGAAAUCAAAAAUCCAAGAACAAUUUCAUGUUGAGUCAAUCCGAAGAUUUCAUUUCAAUUUUGAUUUUUUGGGGGAAUAAGAAAAAAGACACACACCCCCUUGCUUGAAAAUAAAAUUAAAGGACAUUUUGAACACAAAGUAGUUUCAAAAUGAAAAAUCAAAGUGUUUCAUGUCAGAAGUGUCAAAACUAACAGCUUCAGCAUUUGUCAGAGCUUUUUUGAGUUUUUAUAAAUGACAAGUUUGGCAUGUGUGCACAGACCGUUUUGGUGCUGCUGAAUCUGCAUUUUUGCAUGCAAAAAAAAUUGGUCGGGUGAAAUUUUCUGCGGAGAAACCGUUUGCCAUUCCCUUUGUGUGGAGACCAGCAGCGCUCUCCCCCAUGGCUGCAGUGUGCAGGAGCCUCACUGACACCUCCAGCUCCUCUUUGGCUUAUUAAUAUUUUACCCUUCAGUUUGCAGGACUCCGCAGGCCGGGUCUUUUCCAGAGCCAGCUCCCUGGUUAGCAGGAGGAGGUACAAAGGUUAGGAGAGACCGACUGUGCAUCUCCAGCUUGAUGUGCUGCUGUGUGACAGGCGGCCACAGACCCAUCCUAAGGUGACAUUAGGGUUCUCAUCAACUGCCCAAAGGAAAGAAGGACAAGAAUCCUGCCUCCUUCUAAACAGGUGACUUUGCAUUACCAGGGCCAUGGAAUGCCAGCAAAUCGUUCAGUGGGAAAUCAUCUGACCCGAGGCCAACACCAUGCAGAAAAAGACAGAGUUAUGCAUUGCUAUUGUGAAGAAGUUUCAGAUUAAAUAAAUGUAUUUUCUUCUGAACUUGUAAAA